GGUAGGAUGGCUGAGUUUUUAAGCGGUGGAUUGUAGCCCCAUAGACAGAGGUUCGAGUCCUCUUCUUACCAAGCCUUGAGGUGUAAACAUAUCAGAUUGCAAAUCUGAAGUCGCAAGCUAACUGCUUGCCGGGGCUUUCCCCCGCCUCCUAGUUUUAUCAGGCGGGGGAAAGGUAGAUGGAUGCUCGCUGGUUUGAGCGCUUAGCUGUUAACUAAGAGUUUGCAGGAUCGAGGCCUGCCUAUCUAGAAAGGCUUUAGCUUAAUUAAAGUGUCUGUUUUGCAUGCAGGAGAUGUGGGGUAAUGUCCCGCAAGUCUUACAGGGACUGGGAGAUUCUCACUCCCACUGAGGGCUUUGAAGGCCCUUGGUCUAGAUGUUAGCCUAAGUCUCUUAGAGGGUCAGUAGUGCAAUUGCUGCGGGGGCGAGGGGUAACA
rnacentral:tRNA from 1 species